rnacentral:tRNA from 1 species
UCUAGGGAUGGAGCUCAGUGGUAGAGUGCUUGCCUAGCACAUCUGAGACCCUGGGUUCAAUUCCCAGUAUAAAA